CCUGGCAGACGGUCCUGUUGUGGGAGGGAGACUUUUACAUUGCUGGGGGGGACACUCGUCUCUGAAAUGAAACAGAGCCUUCGGUCACUCCCCGUGGAUUAAAACGGAAACUUUGAACGAUGGCUGUGGACAUGAAAAAGUAGCGCGAGAAAGCAGCACGCGAGCCGCCGCCGCCGCCAACGGUCCCCGCACCGCGCAGCAACUCCUCGUAACGGUAGAUUCGCCGCUGAAAAAUAUGCUCCAGCCGAGCCGCCUCAACCCCGGCUUCAGUCGCAGAUUCGCAGUGUUUUAACCAGUUUCGCGAGACAUUCGUCAGCUACUAUUUGUUUGUUAUUGUUUUUUUUUAACCCGUGAAGUCCACUGUACAAGUAGCCGACACACCUGCGAGAGACAAUCAUGGCAAGGAGGCAGACAGAGGCGGAGGGCGCGGGGAUUCUGCUGGUCACAGCCAACGUUGGAUCCCUCUUCGAGGAUCCUGAAAAUCUACAGAAAACAUGGCUGAGAGAGUUUAACCAGACAGUACAAACACAGAAACCUCAAUUCCUGGCAGUGCACUGCCAAGAGGUGGGUGGGAAGAAUUGCAAGGCAUCCAUGGCACACGUGAGGAGUUUCGUCGGUGAAUUGAUGUCCAUCGAUGCCAUGAAGGAGUUCAACAGAGCCCGCAUCUACAUCGAUGAGAACUACGACUCCCAGGAGCAUUUCACAGCUCUUGGAAGUUUCUACUUCGUCCACGACUCUUUGCUAGACAUCCGCCAGUUUGAUUUCAAAGCCUUGAGAUUCAGGAGGGUGCUGGGGAGGGAAUCCUUCUCGGAGCUAGAAAGGACAACCACGCUACAGAAGGAGAAGUUUCCACAGCACUACUUUCCUGAGUCUAAGUGGUCCAGGAAAGGAUUCACCAGGACUCGAUGGUUUUUGGGAGGACGUACCUUUGAUCUGGUCAACAUCCACCUUUUCCAUGAUGCUUCCAACCUAGUGGCCUGGGAGAAAAGCCCCUCAGUCUACUCCGAAACCAGAAAAAAGGCCCUGGACUUUGUUUUAGACAGGAUCUCUGACUGGCGGUAUCAGAAGUUGCCAUAUUUUGUGUUUGGAGACUUUAACUUCAGGUUGGACUCAAUGCAGGUUAUUAAGAGUCUCUGCACCUCUGCCAUCGAGCAGAAAUUCCGAAACACAGACAAUGAAGUUGAGAAGAUAAUAUUCCGAGAAAGUGAUAACGACAAAAAGGUUAUUCUUGAACUUGAAAAGAAGCUUUUUGAAUAUAUCAACCAGGACGUUUUUCGGCAAAACAAUGGGAUCUCACUUCGAGAAUGUGAUAAAGAGCUGUCAGCGUUCAAGGAUAAACUGAUUGAGAUGGACAUCUGUUUCCCACCCAGCUACCCGUACAGUGAAGACAGCAGUGAGGGGAAUCAGUACAUGAACACCAGAUGCCCCGCCUGGUGUGACCGAAUUCUCAUGUCUCCCUCAGCCAGAGACCUGCUUGAUUGUGACGAUAGUGCUAUAGUCUAUAAUAACAUUGGAUCCAAUGUCUGCAUGGGGGACCACAAGCUGGUCACACCCCAGUAAGAAGAUGAAGACGUAAUAGUGUCUGUGCAGAGAAAGGGGCUCCAGUCUGCGCCGUGUCAGACAGAGGGUCUUCAAGUGAAAGAGAGGCGCCCUAAGUCAAGUCUUUCAUCAGUAGUUAGUGUGACACAGACAGUUGUGUGUGUGCCCACGGUGACCUGAGCACACGGAUGGCUCCUACCCCAGGCCUCACCUCCAGACCACACACUGCUGCUAAAGUCACAGCUGGCUAUGUUUAAAAAAUGUCCAGUGUAGUUAGCACACAGACCCAAAUAUGCCCAGCGCCGCCCGUCUUCCUGUCCUUCCAGUUACCACGAAAGCAACAUAUUUGUUUGUUGCAGUGAUGUCGUGGGACGUGUGGCCGAAUGGGGGAGAACAUAUUCUACGUGACCGGAGAAACACAUCAGACAUCAACGUACACACACACACACACACACACACACACACACACACACACACACACACACACACACACACACACACACACACACACACACACACACACACACACACACACACUUUGCACGAGCGUACACUGAAGAAACGCAGACAGACCUGUUUUCAGCAGUGCUGACCAGUUGCUGAUAGCUGAUCCAUAGAAACAACCCAGCUCCCUCCCUCCCUCCCUCUCCAUAAAACACUUGUUGAGUGUGGACGAGCACCCGAGGGCCCCGUCUCCAAGACAAGACACACAUCGCUGACCUCACUGUUGCCAUGCAACCGCAUUCUCCACAGAAUAGAGAGGACGAACGACUCCUUUCCACACAGCAGCCUCAUUGCCAAAACUCUAAUGAAAAGCUACUACAUACUUGUAAACACCAUACUUGCCAUUCUUAGGUAUGCCUCUAUGUAUAGAAGCUACUUUCCAUACAGUAUGUAAGGUGUUUAAAAAAGAAAUGUGCAAUGCAAAAGAGUUAUGUCUAUAAUGUUAGGUUUAUUUGUACAUUGGACAGUAUAACAUAGAGUUGUUGAUGGUUUUAGUGCUGUUUUCUUUUUUGACCAAACUCCGUGGUCCCUUUGUUGGAAUAGUAGAACUUCUCAGUUUAUAACAGUUUAUAUAAAUAUAUAUUUUUUUUUCUUCCAUUUUGUUUUUGUUUUGAUGUUGUGUGCACAACACACUGCCAUGCCUGACACAUCAGUUCAUUUUAUAUACUGUACUUUUUAAGAAGUUAAUUUAUAAUUGUUACCAAAAUGUUUGUGCUGAAGUGGGGAUGUCCCUGCAGCCUCAGCGACCUGCGAGUCGUCCAGAGCAGAGAACCAGAAGCUCUUCAGUGAUUUAUAGCCUGUCUGAGAAUGUUUAAGCAGUGCCAUAGACCAUGCAAGUAUAUAAGAUAAUGUUUCCUAUAUAGCACUCUCACGUUAUUAUUCUCACUCUAACUUAUUUCUAUAAUAUUAUGGUUCUGAAUGUCUUGUUUUAGGUAGGCUUGGGUAUCCUUCAGAUGUAAACUGUCGUGUUUCUAUUUUUGUUACUGCAUUAUGGUGCCAAGUAUCUUACACGAAAGAGAAGAGUUUUAAAAUACUUCAAGGCAGAUGGUGAAGGUGUUCACUAAGCGUGAACACGAGAGAAACUCUAAAACGCUGGACUUGCUUUGUGCCUGUUCUGGACGUAGCCCUCAGCAGCCUCCUUUGCCAAUGAUUGGAGCAUUACAGGCGGAACCCAGAGACGCCAUCGCCUCUCGUUCUUUGUCUUUUUGUUUAGUCAAUAUUCUUUAUAACACUACAGAUUUUUAGACCGUGUAAAGCCGUCAGAUCGAUCCUCUGUGUGUGUUUUUAUGAUUUAAAUCACUGCAAGUGGAGCUGUGUUGUUUUUUUUUUUUGUUUUUUUUUUUUUUUUUUGCCCGCCUCUGGGUUCUUGUUGUCUUGUGUGAUUUGGUUCUUAGGCAAACGAAAAAAAAGAAGUUGGGUGAAAAAUAACUUGCUUGUUUUUGUUUCUGCUGCUCGUUGUGAGUUUACUGUAGGAAAUAAGCCGCAGUUUUUAAUUCACUCCAUCGUAUAAAAGCAGAUAGAGAUUACAUUCUCCCUUCCGGACGGCCUCUUCUGUAGGUGAUGCACUUCUCAAGCAAUAAAAACCGUUAGAGCUCAA